rnacentral:rRNA from 1 species
CCCUUAGAUGUUCUGGGCCGCACGCGCGCUACACUGAUGCAUUCAACGAGUCUAAAACCUGGUCUGAUAGGGCUGGGUAAUCUUUUGAAAGUGCAUCGUGAUUGGGAUAGAUGAUUGCAAUUCUUCAUCUUCAACGGGGAAUGCCUAGUAAACGCAAGUCAUCAGCUUGCAUUGAUUACGUCCCUGCCCUUUGUACACACCGCCCGUCGCUCCUACCGAUUGAAUGAUCCGAUGAAUACCAUGGAUUGAGAGUACGAAUGGGUUCGCUCAUUUCUGCUGCUCGAGAAGUGGAGUAAAUCUUAUCAUUUAGAGGAAGGAGAAGUCGUAACA